GCUGCCCCGUCGCCCGCUCGGAAGGAGGAAGCUGCGAGCCGCGGGCCCGCUGGGUGGCUCCAGGAGGGAAACAGGACUGAGGACUUUAAUGAAGAGAAGAAAGAUGAGCCUGAGUAGCUGUUUCAAGAGGGAUUUCUGCCAUAUCUUCACACUGUGCAGAGGUCCCAGUGAUCCCCUUCUCUGCUGGUCCUCUGGUCAGAGCAAGCUCCUUCUCUGGGGCUGCAGAAAAACAUUCUGUACCAGCUCUUUGUCCACAGACAAUAAUGAGAUGAAAGGAAAAGAAAGAAACCAUAUCUGGAAAUGAAGACGAAAGCAAAAAAGACAGGAAGUGGCCUUGCAGCAGUGCUCUCAAAACUGCCCUAAUUCAGUCAAAUGUGUAUCCUGUGGAAUGACUAUAAGGUAAAUCCAUAAAUUAAUGGGAAAGAAGAAUUACUUUUGGAGCAUUAUGUUUUUUGGGCAACUUUUGCAGCUCAAACUGAGACUUUGGGGAAAUAUACUGCUAG
rnacentral:lncRNA from 1 species